AACCGCGGUUACACGGUUGGCUCAAGUUGAUAGUACUCGGCGUAAAGCGUGGUUAGGAGCCAAUAUGAACUAAGACUGAAUGAACCCCUUGUUGUCCUAAGCUAUCGGGGUAAGAAGUCCAAUAACGAAAGUAGCCUUAUCUUAUCUGAUUCCACGAAAACUAGGAAA
rnacentral:rRNA from 1 species